UACAGAGGUGGCAAGCGUUGUUCGGAGUUACUGGGCGUAAAGGGCGCGUAGGCGGUCCGAUAAGUCCCGUGUGAAAUCCCUCGGCUCAACUGAGGAAUGGCACGGGAAACUGCCGGGCUUGAGUUCGGGAGAGGGAAGCGGAAUUCCGGGUGUAGCGGUGAAAUGCGUAGAUAUCCGGAGGAACACCUAUGGCGAAGGCAGCUCGCUGGGACGUUACUGACGCUGAGACGCGAAAGCGUGGGGAGCAAACAGG
rnacentral:rRNA from 1 species